AAUAUAUAUUUUUAUAUAUAUAUUUUUUAUCUACAUUUCACCUCUGACAUUGUACACAACACGAAAGCACAGGAAACCAAAAAAAUCAUAAUGAGGUAGAUACAUAACACUUACAGAUGGAGGAGACUAAAGAGUUUAAAUUUGGCUUAAUACUGUGGUCACCAAUGUAUGCAUUUUCAACACAGCAGCAAGCAUUGAUUCAUGGGGCAAGAAGCCCAAUGAUCUCAAAUCCAAAAAUAAGCCCCUUUAAAAAAAUACCUGCUUCAAAAUGGAAAGAAAUUUUUUUUUCUUUGAAAAAUCAGGGAUUCAGAUGUGUUCAGUUGCAAACUCUGGUGAAAUAAAGUUUUUGUUUUUGCUUUUGUACCCAGCGGGGGGAAAUGUAAAAUUCACCUAUGUAAUUAGGAGUAACCUGUCCCAUAGGGUACUUCUAUGUUUUCCUGCUGAGGGGUUGGGGCAACCUUAGGAGCUCCGUGGCCAGAUGUUAAUAAAGGAGCAGGGUUUCUUCGUUUUCCCUAAAGUAACCUCCACCUCUGCAGCCACUAUACCAGGGACCACUAGCCUUUGAGGGCCCUGGAAACAUGCCUGGAAAUGGCUGGAAAUCAACUGAGCUGUGAAUUCCAUGGCACGGCUUUACCUUUCUAGGACCAUCUGCUCUCCCAGUGGGUGAGCACCAACUGGUUUGGAACAUUGGGAUCAUCCCUUUCCCCGUGUCAUUUCCACUGACAGCCUUCCAAUGGAGAGCUGAAAAGGCCACCGAGAAGGCCAUGUUCAGCCUCAAUUUUAACUAUAAAUGCAUUUUCACUGUAAAAUGCAGUGUCAGGCAGUGGUAUCUGCCACAGAGACCAACGUCCCCCUGGUCUGAUGUCGUGGAUGAAAGGAGAAUGAGAUGAGAAGGGACCAGGAGAGCAACUUGGCUGGUGGAGGCAGCAGCUGGGAGAACAGAGCCAUUAAAUGACCAACCAAGGAAGGCUCAGCCCCGGCAGGUGCAGAUGGACCAUGGACACCGAAGGGGCUCCAACUAGAAAGCCAAGGAGUAACUUGCGUUUGUCACCAGUGACUUGAAGAGGAGACCCUAGAGAAAAAUGUGGAGGAAACAAGACUCAGAGAUGUUGAUGGAACUAAAAGUGGACCUGAACCAAACUCCUUGGAUUGUUUAACUCUGGACAUGAUCCUGCAUUUGGUAGGCUUGGCUCCACUGAGAAAGAGCUGGGAUCAGCUGCAGGCCAGGUCAUCCUCAGGAAAGAGGGUAGACAGAGGGGUCCUGGUGGAAUGCAUGGUGAGUCUGGGAUGAUGGCAGAAUGGGGAGGGAACUGACAGGCAACUGCCUGGGCGAGGAGACUGGUGCACGAGCAAAGUGCACAUUGGGGAAGCUUGAAGUGGGCCUGUUUGUGUACUGUCUCCCCUGAGGGACUGUGAGUGCCCAAAGAGGCCACCUUUCCUCUUUGUGUUCCCAGUGCCUAGCAGAACACCUGACACAUGGAGGCCACUAUCCAGGGUGAAUUGCAUUUAUAGAAAAAUGCAACAAGAACAUGGUUUGGGGAAGAUGUCUACAGUGUAAUAAGAGCUUUGAAGACCCUAUAUCCCACUCCACCCCCACCUCAAAGCAAUACUCAGAGGCCUCCUCCAGCCUUCCCAGAUGUAUGCUGCUGCUCAGAACAGAAGGGCUGCUGAUGAAGAUCAGAUACACAAGGGAAAAGGGAAGGAAAGAUUCCCAGCUAGACACCAGGGUCUCCCUCAGGAGCCAGGGCCACACCUUGUAAAGGCAUAUGCAUUUACUAAAGGAAGAGAGGGCAGGGCGCCUGUCCUUGACACUGGGUGGCUGGACCGGUGGAGAGGCUGAGGCCACUGCUCAGAGGCAUGUGGAGUGACAGCUUCUGGGAGCUGAUGAUGUGUUGGCGGAAGCAUGCAGCAACAGUGGCGUCCA